rnacentral:rRNA from 1 species
AUUGAACGCUGGCGGCAUGCUUUACACAUGCCAGUCGAACGGCAGCGCGGGCUUCGGCCUGGCGGCGAGUGGCGAACGGGUGAGUAAUGCAUCGGAACGUGCCCAGUCGUGGGGGAUAGCCCGGCGAAAGCCGGAUUAAUACCGCAUACGACCUGAGGGUGAAAGCGGGGGACCGAAAGGCCUCGCGCUAUUUGAGCGGCCGAUGUCGGAUUAGCUAGUUGGUGGGGUAAAGGCUUACCAAGGCGACGAUCCGUAGCUGGUCUGAGAGGACGACCAGCCACACUGGGACUGAGACACGGCCCAGACUCCUACGGGAGGCAGCAGUGGGGAAUUUUGGACAAUGGGGGCAACCCUGAUCCAGCCAUGCCGCGUGCGGGAAGAAGGCCUUCGGGUUGUAAACCGCUUUUGUUCGGGAAGAAAUCCUCUGGGCUAAUACCCCGGGGGGAUGACGGUACCGGAAGAAUAAGCACCGGCUAACUACGUG